AGAUUUAGGUGUUCUUUUGUUAGCAAGAGAACUUAAAAGGGAAGUUCGGUGAAAGACCGACGCUGUCCCGCAACUGUAAAUGGGAGCGAUUCUUUAUAAACCACUGUAAGGUUACUACGGGAAGGAAAGAAGAGCGAUGAACAUGAGCCAGGAGACCUGCCUAUUUC
rnacentral:ncRNA from 1 species